GAAAGAGUAAAAAGAAAAGGUCCAGGGGGCUGGGGCACUCAGUCCUGACACUGACCCUCCUGGGCUGGCCUCUGAGACAGACCGGCAUUGCAGAGAAACUGCUGAAUGGGAUCCGAUUGACCGGGGCAGGGAUGGCAGGAGUGAAAGAGAGAAGUCAACAACAAAACCAGCUGAACUCAGACGUCCACUGCUCUCCGCUGACCAGUGAUCUCCUGAGCCUUCCCUUCUGAGACCCGCCCUGCAGGCAGCACCUGGUCUUGGGAUGGAUGUUAGGAACCUCAAUUCCUCCCUAAAUCUAUUGCCAGAUUCACUCUAGUGCACCCGUAGGGCUGCAAUGUGGUGAAGAAAGCUGAGGACAUUUAGGGUGUCCCGACAGAGUGCCUACAGGAGCAGGAUAUACAUGACCCCAAACACGGGACACGUCCAUGUGGGCAGCCUACACCUCUCUGAACCUCUUGGUCCAAAGGAUAUCCCAGGAAGUGCUCAUCACUUGAUUGAGGAGCCAGGUUCACUGCUGGCGUCCUUCCCAAGGAUGCUGAAAUCUUUUAAAAAACUAAUUUUUCGGCCGUGUGGGAUCUAGUUCCCUGGCCAGGGACCGGACCUGCAGCCCCUUCAUUGGAAGCGUGGAGUCCUAACCACUGGACCACCAGGUUGCCUGAGAAGCCAGAAAACAGACCUCUCUGCCUAACCCAGGGCUUCUGGACCAGGGUCUCCAAGGGGAGCAGAGCAGAGGUAUUUGAAGCCAACCCCUUCAGGAUGCUGACUGUCAUAUCCCAAAUGAACACCAGGUGGCGUCCAGGCUCCGUGCUGGUCCUGGAGACCCCAGAGGCAGGCUCUGCAUUAAAAAAAUUUUUUUUUCCUUCUUGUCAUACUUGUCUACUGAAAAGUUGGCAGGGAAGUUUGUGCAAUGUGGAAUGUGGGGCAGUGACCUCAAUUGUCCUGCCCUGUGCAUGACAUGCCUUCAACAAUCCUGUGUUUGAUUGUGAAAAUCCAUGGAAAAUUUGUAUUUUACUCCACAACUGCUGUAUUUAAUAUAGAAAUAGUUACUUCUACAAAUUGCAAGUAACACUGGCCUCCCCCCGCCCCCAGGAAGUUGCACUGGCCCAUGUAGGCUUCUCAGCACUGCACAC
ensembl:lncRNA